rnacentral:misc_RNA from 1 species
CGCACCUUGCGCUCCUUGGUAUUCCGAGGAGCAUGCCUGUUUGAGUGUCAUGAAACCCUCAAACCCAAGUUUUGGAUUUCGGUCCAUGCUUGAGUUUGGAUUUGGAUGUUUGCCGGUGAUGAACCGACUCAUCUUAAAAGUAUUAGCUGGAUCUGUCUAUAUGACUGGUUUGACUUGGCAUAAUAAGUAUUUUGCUGAGGACAUCUUCGGAUGGCCAGGACCUAGACUACUGUCUGCUAACUAAACCAUCACUUUAAGUGCAUCCUUGGAUGUUACUCAUUGUGUAACUUUGACAUCUGGCCUCAAAUCAGGUAGGACUACCCGCUGAACUUAA